CCCUCCUGAAGAGUGCCAGGAGCUGCAGAGGCUCCAGCAGGCUGGGACAAAACGUGCAAUACUCAGGAAUCAGCUGAAGGCGACAUGCAGGCAGCUCCAGACUGGGAGAAAGCUGAGGCCACAGAGAAAUCCACAACAACAAUGGAUGGCCCAGCAUUGCCUGCUGAGGGAGGAAGGCCCUCCUGAAGAGUGCCAGGAGCUGCAGAGGCUCCAGCAGUCUGUCGCCAAACUUGGAGUGCUCAGCGAGCAGUUGCAGGAGAAAUGCAGGCAGAUCCAGUUCGGUAGAAGGCUGAGGCCACACGGAAAUCCCAAACAGCAAUGGAGGGCCCAGCACUGCUUGCUGAGUGAGGAAUGCCCUCCAGAAGUGGGCCAGGAGCUGCAGAGGCUCCAGCAGGCUGGGGCCAGACUUGGAAUACUCAGCGAGCUGCUGCAGGAGAAAUGCAGGCAGCUCCAGAUCGGGAGCAAGCUGAGGCCACAGGGAAAUCCUCAACAGCAAUGGAAGGCCCAGCAUUGCCUUCUGAGAGAGAAAUUCCCUCCUGACGAGUGCCAGGAGCUGCAGAGGCUCCAGCAGGCUGGCGCGAAACUUGGAGUGCUCAGCGAGCAGCUGCAGGAGAAAUGCAGGCAGCUCCAGACCGGGAGAAAGCUGAGGCCACAGAGAAAUCCCAAAAAGCAAUGGAAGGCCCAGCCAUGCCUGCUGAGAGUGGAAGGCUUUACUGAAGAG
ensembl:lncRNA